rnacentral:rRNA from 1 species
CGCGUAGGUAACCUGCCUUGUAGCGGGGGAGUAACUAUUGGAAACGAUAGCUAAUACCGCAUAACAAUGGAUGACACAUGUCAUUUAUUUGAAAGGGGCAAUUGCUCCACUACAAGAUGGACCUGCGUUGUAUUAGCUAGUAGGUGAGGUAACGGCUCACCUAGGCGACGAUACAUAGCCGACCUGAGAGGGUGAUCGGCCACACUGGGACUGAGACACGGCCCAG